UCCUGCCAGCGGUAAUAAUCGGCUCACUACCGAAUCUCUGCUUGCUCCUGCAGGUGGGAGGACAUCUCCUGUCUUUGUCGCUGGCUUCAGGAAUGCGUCAGAAAUGAUUGUAUUCAAAUGAAGGUAGCAAGAAAGCCUACUAACUUCACGGAGGACUGGAAGAGUGCAUGUGGACCAGUAGAGAAGCAACAUGAUUGCACAGGCAAACAAGUUCUUCUUAUCUAAAAGUUUGACACUGAAGUCUUAAAUCUGCCAAAAGUACCAGUCAUCAGGAACAAAAUCUUCAAGGUCCCUAGUCUAGGUCAAGACUGGAAGGAAAAAUAAUGGCUGAUGAACACGGUGGAGGCUCAAAAUCCAGAUUGUGAUGUGUAAGUGUGGUCCCACAAGGAAUUUCAUUAACACAACUGGGAGAAGGCAAUGGAUUGCUGCGCUGGCACCAGAGUGGCUCCUCCAGGCAGAAGAAUCCCUCCUGGCAGAGGGACAGGAUUUCUUAAGCCAGGAUUGCACCAAAGCCAAUGCGCUGUAGAAUUGCACCUUCCAACAUGCAGAAUUAUGCCUUCCCUACCUGCGUCAAACUCAAACCCAGGUCUCCCAGGCUCUCCAUUUGCUAUUCUGUCUCCUAGAUCCUCAUAGCCUUUGUUUUAAAAAGUAUUGUAUGCAAGCCAGCAUUAUUAUUAAUAAAAACAAAUAAAGAGA